AGAUUUCUGAAAAUCUAAAUGAGAUUUGGUUUUAAUCGUUGCUGCUCCAGCGUUUUCCCAGUCACAUUAAGUCAGUGAGGGUAUAGUCGACAAUGCGACGGUCCAAUCCUGCUUUUUAAUUUGCAAAAUACAUACAAAUAAAUACAUAAAGAGAGAGAGAGAGAUCUGCAUAUACAAUCGCUAAAAAUCAACAAAAUAAACCUAUUAGACUUUGUUGAUCCCGCACAUGGAGGAUAAUCUUUGCUGCACAGCGAAAUCAAGCCUGACUGAUUAUUGGGAUUAUAUCCUGAAACAUCAAUCACUAAUAAUAAUAAACAGUGGGGCUUAAAAAAAUCUUGAUGGUAAAUGACAUUAUAGCAAGUUUUUUUCUUUCUUUCUUGAAUAAUACAUUUUAUAACACUCCUUACUCACUUUUUAUUCUCACUCCAGCACAAAAUGUGUGCAGUGCAGAUCAGCUCUUUGCUCUGUUUCAAAGUUUGCCCAAAUGUGGUUAUUUUCGGUGACCUCUUUAGUGGGACAAAGGAGGCUGUGGAUCGAUUCGUUACACCUUUUUAGUGAGGCUUCUGGUGAAGGGGAGGGGCUCUGAAUCCACAAGAGGCUCCAUUAAUAGCCUACACUCCAUCCUAAGUAUUAUCCACCAUAAAGUGUUUAUAAAGGGCACACAACUAGGCUAAUGUUAUCUUAAAUGAGAGAGCAUGAUAUAUCCGUUUACGGCACACUGCUACAGAGGAUAGUGAAGGAAGAGGAGAGGGAGAAAAAAAUAAGUCUAAAGUUUGUUUUUUUUUAUUACCGAGUGAAAGAGGGUGCGGUGAUAAUCACAACAUAACUUGGAUGGCAUGAGAACUGGCUCAGUUCAGACUGGACCUUCUUCCAGCCAUAGGACUUUAGGACACUAUUCACCCAGCCUCACCGGCUCCUCCAGCUCGGGCUUUAACGGACCGGAUCAUUUACAAGAAACUGGAUUACAAACUUUCUGCAAACCGCCCAGCCAGUUCCUGGUUUAACUGAUUCUGGUCUGACAUUACCAUCUAAACAGGAGCUGUUUAAAAGAUCUACUGGAUCGUACUGCAGGUUGUCAAAUCAGACAUAAUGGGAAAAUAUGACUGAGGUCACGCUAAGAAUAGCCAAUUCCCUGACCUCGGCUUCUCCAGCGACGUCUGCGGCAUUAUCGGGUGAAAUAUCCACUAUUUCAUGCUAACAACAAGAGACGUCUGUACAGAGGCAGCAGCACACAGGACGACUGGCUCAGGGCAAGACAUCCGGAUCACAGCGGCUUUUGUCACCUACAAGCCACUUGCAAUCAUCCUGGAGAAGAGUGCAUGUCUUUGUUUUUGUGAUAAAAGUGCAAUGUAUAUGAGUUAAUAAAUCCGUAUGUGUGCUGUUUUUGUUUGAACUGUAUAUAUAAAGCUUUGACUUUCUGUGUUGUUUCAUUCUAACACGAUCGUUCGAAGAGUAUUAACCUAUAACUUUGUUGAAGAUGUUUGUUAAAUACUGUAACAAUGAAUUAAUUAAACAAUGAGACAAGA